rnacentral:tRNA from 1 species
GGGGCAGUAGCUCAGGGGUUAGAGCAGCGGACUCAUAACCCGCCGGUCGUAGGUUCAAAACCUACCUGCCCCA